rnacentral:rRNA from 1 species
GAUGAACGCUGGCGGCGUGCCUAAUACAUGCAAGUCGAGCGAACGGACGAGAAGCUUGCUUCUCUGAUGUUAGCGGCGGACGGGUGAGUAACACGUGGAUAACCUACCUAUAAGACUGGGAUAACUUCGGGAAACCGGAGCUAAUACCGGAUAAUAUUUUGAACCGCAUGGCUCAAAGGUGAAAGACGGUCUUGCUGUCACUUAUAGAUGGAUCCGCGCUGCAUUAGCUAGUUGGUAAGGUAACGGCUUACCAAGGCAACGAUGCAUAGCCGACCUGAGAGGGUGAUCGGCCACACUGGAACUGAGACACGGUCCAGACUCCUACGGGAGGCAGCAGUAGGGAAUCUUCCGCAAUGGGCGAAAGCCUGACGGAGCAACGCCGCGUGAGUGAUGAAGGUCUUCGGAUCGUAAAACUCUGUUAUUAGGGAAGAACAUAUGUGUAAGUAACUGUGCACAUCUUGACGGUACCUAAUCAGAAAGCCACGGCUAACUACGUG